rnacentral:rRNA from 1 species
GGCUCAGAUUGAACGCUGGCGGCAGGCCUAACACAUGCAAGUCGAGCGGAAACGAUCCUAGCUUGCUAGGAGGCGUCGAGCGGCGGACGGGUGAGUAAUGCAUAGGAAUCUGCCCGGUAGUGGGGGAUAACUUGAGGAAACUCAAGCUAAUACCGCAUACGCCCUACGGGGGAAAGCAGGGGCUCUUCGGACCUUGCGCUAUCGGAUGAGCUUAUGUCGGAUUAGCUGGUUGGUGAGGUAACGGCUCACCAAGGCGACGAUCCGUAGCUGGUCUGAGAGGAUGAUCAGCCACAUCGGGACUGAGACACGGCCCGAACUCCUACGGG